GUGUUCUUGCUUCAGCAGCACAUAUACUAAAAUUGGAAUGAUGCAGAUAAGAUUAGCAUGCCCCUCUGUGUAAGGAUAGCAUGCAAAUUUGUGAAGUGUUCCAUAAAAAA